rnacentral:sRNA from 1 species
GUAAAGUCUUGGGUAAACUAAUGUUUGUGUUAAUGAUGCUGUGCUGAAAAUAAUUUUUGAGAGGACAUUAUUUUGCUUUCCAGAGAUAAUGGAGACAUCAAAUUUCUGACUAAAGGAGAUAAUAAUGAAGUUGACGAUAGAGGCUUGUACAAAGAAGGCCAGAACUGGCUGGAAAAGAAGGACGUGGUGGGAAGAGCAAGAGGGUUUUUACCAUAUGUUGGUAUGGUCACCAUAAUAAUGAAUGACUAUCCAAAAUUCAAGUAUGCUCUUUUGGCUGUAAUGGGUGCAUAUGUGUUACUAAAACGUGAAUCCUAAAAUGAGAAGCAGUUCCUGAGACCAGAUUGAAAUGAAUUCUGUUGAAAAAGAGAAAAACUAAUAUAUUUGAGAUGUUCCAUUUUCUGUAUAAAAGGGAACAGUAUGGAGAUGUUUUUGUCUUGUCCAAAUAAAAGAUUCACCAGUAAA